GAUUUGCCCAGUAAUGGGUGUCAGGCCUCUCAGAGAAAGAUACCGUUCGUGGGGAGAUGAGUGGCUUCUGGUAAGAAAGGAUGAGAAUGAAUUGGGGCCUUUUUCUGCUUGGAAUAUAACAGGAACUUACAGAGGGUCUUGGAGGUUCCUAGAUUCAACAAAUAGCUCUUCCAGGUUUCCUGAUUUUAGGAAGUCCAAUGGCAACUCGGUCCUUGAAUUGAUAAGUAAUCCAACAAAAAUAACUGGUGUACAUUAUAUUCAG
rnacentral:misc_RNA from 1 species